rnacentral:rRNA from 1 species
AAUAGAUACCCAGGUAGUCCACCCCGUAAACGUUGGGAACUAGUUGUGGGGUCCAUUCCACGGAUUCCGUGACGCAGCUAACGCAUUAAGUUCCCCGCCUGGGGAGUACGGCCGCAAGGCUAAAACUCAAAGGAAUUGACGGGGACCCGCACAAGCGGCGGAGCAUGCGGAUUAAUUCGAUGCAACGCGAAGAACCUUACCAAGGCUUGACAUAUACGAGAACGGGCCAGAAAUGGUCAACUCUUUGGACACUCGUAAACAGGUGGUGCAUGGUUGUCGUCAGCUCGUGUCGUGAGAUGUUGGGUUAAGUCCCGCAACGAGCGCAACCCUCGUUCUAUGUUGCCAGCACGUAAUGGUGGGAACUCAUGGGAUACUGCCGGGGUCAACUCGGAGGAAGGUGGGGAUGACGUCAAAUCAUCAUGCCCCUUAUGUCUUGGGCUUCACGCAUGCUACAAUGGCCGGUACAAAGGGCUGCAAUACCGCGAGGUGGAGCGAAUCCCAAAAAGCCGGUCCCAGUUCGGAUUGAGGUCUGCAACUCGA